AACAAAGAGAAAUACUCUGAGAAAUAUGAUGAAAU
rnacentral:guide_RNA from 1 species